GCUAGGGAUGUAGCUCAGUGGUAGAGCACUUGCCUAGCAUGCACAAGGCCCUGGGUUCGAUCCCCAGCCUUGGGGGACA